rnacentral:tRNA from 1 species
GGAGUUGUGGCUCAGUGGUAGAGCGCUCGCCUGGCAUACAUGAGGCACUGGGUUCGAUCCUCAGCACCA